GAUGAACGCUGGCGGCGUGCCUAACACAUGCAAGUCGAGCGGAAACGAUGGGAGCUUGCUCCCAGGCGUCGAGCGGCGGACGGGUGAGUAAUACUUAGGAAUCUGCCCAGUAGUGGGGGAUAGCUCGGGGAAACUCGAAUUAAUACCGCAUACACCCUACGGGGAAAAGGGGGCGCUUGCGCUCUCGCUAUUGGAUGAGCCUAAGUCGGAUUAGCUAGUUGGUGGGGUAAAGGCCUACCAAGGCGACGAUCUGUAGCUGGUCUGAGAGGAUGAUCAGCCACACCGGGACUGAGACACGGCCCGG
rnacentral:rRNA from 1 species